GUUGCUUUACCAAUAUAUGGGUAAAAUAGGUUACCCAUAUAUGGGUGAAAAAAUGUAAGCGUUAUUGUUCGACUCAGCCUCUAUUUGACUGAAAGUUGAAAGCCAUUUGUGGUUCCAAAGAAACGAGUAUCGGUCGACUGGCCCAACAAUAAAAAUAAUCAAAACCACGAACACAGCCGCAUCUUCCGGAGCCCCGGGGCACCAAAUCAACGAUGGAGUGCAUAAGCCAAUCGCCUAGUCAGAAACCGCUGUAUGCCUCUAGCAUGGGACACGAUAAGGCAAAAGCUCGUUUAACUGGUCCUGGAACAUUGAAGAAUUUAAAUAGUUGCCGGGAUACAGAUCGACCCGAACGGUAUGGACAGCCAUCGAAGUCCGCUCCGUUACAGCAAAUGCCUCAAGUGGGAGAGAGAUCACAGGAUCGGCUUCUGCGACUACCACAAAGUAUGAAAUCCAAUUAUUAUCCUAAACAAAAAACAAUCUAAUCUCUUGUGAGCUGAAACUUCCGGACUUCCUGUGAGCUAAAAUAAUAAGAAGUGCAGAAGGAAACCACCGUGUCGGUGUGCAACGUACCCUACCCUUCACAUCAACAGAUACCUACAACCUACACAGCAAAAAUUAUUGUAAAAUACAUCGACGUAAUUUACGCGAUGUAACGGAAAACCAAUGUAAAUGCUAAAAAUAGAUACAUUAUAGCAUCUUUUUGUAUGCACUAUUACAUCGUCCAUCAAUUACACAAACCCGAAACCUGUCUGUUGGCUGCACAUAGUAUUUGUGUAAUAAUCAAAUAUUUAGAAACGUAAUAUUACAUAGAAACAGCUGCAACCAUAUGAUUCUAAUAUAUUUGUGUAUUAUUACACAAGUUCUGUGUGAUAUCACAUUUGAAGAUAAUGCAAAUUUAAAUCUAGCAGCACUGCCUCAGAUGUCGUUUCACUUCGAUGUCGAUGCCGAUCGUUCGGUUGUUUCGGUUCGGAAAGGAAACAAAUUUCACAAAUUUCAUUGUUUGUUUUGCGUUUUUCGUGACAAAAUGCGGAAAAAUCGUGAAAUUGGCCAUCUACUACACCUUCAAGAGAACCAGGUUGGUGCCGCCACCAAAGGCCUUCAUAUCGACAUUGCGGUGCUGAACUAGCCUUGGAACCAGUAGGCAACUCCGACGGUGAUCCACAAGCAUCAUCAGAACGAUGGUCCACAGACACCAGGAUCCGUGCGUUAAACGCGCACUCCCAGCAGAAUUUCUACGACUUUCCCAAGCUCGAUGGUGUGUAUCCGUUCUAUACGGAUCUGAGGAAUGUGCAGUUCAAUGGUCCUUGUAGGUCGGCAUCUUCACAGCGGAAUACAUCCUGGCAAAGGACUGCACGGUUGCUUAAAUUUGCCGAUUCGCGACAGCGUAACGAUACCGGACGGUUAAUCUACAAAGCAAAUAGUGGGGUCCUGCAUGAAGAACAUUGAAGUCAACUAUAUCAUGAGGAAUAUACGGAAAUCAACUUGUUGCUGUAACUCAAUGGAACCUUCCUCUUACGAAAAUCGUCCGAUGGUGUGGCAAAACCGUCACUUUCUACGCGAUCCAGAGAAGCAGAGUUAUUUUUUGCAAAUUCAUUUAUUUAAAUUAUUGUUACAAAAAUAUAUUAUUGUAAUUAAAUGGUA